ensembl:lncRNA
GGUGGUGGAAGUGCUCGCCUCAAUGCUAGCUGGCAGCACCCUCCCCACCAAGUCAUCUUUUCCUUUCUGUAGGAUGGAAAUAGUCCUUCCCUUUCAGCAGGACGUGGGGAGAACGCAUCUGCAGAGUGUGAGGCAGCUGGGGCCGUGUUCGGGCUGCUUCUGUGCUGAUGCCUGUCACAACUCCAUCUCUCCAUUGUCUGCAAAAUCAAGUCUGAGCAGUCUGAAUCACAUAUGACUAAUUGGAGUGUAGUAGUUAUAACUCCUAAAUCGGGCUCGCGGAGUGGGGGGUGUGAACGUACCUUCUGAUGUGGCAGUACAGGGAGGGCCAUUAUCCUGGAGUCUGUAUUUUGCCACAGAUUUCUUUAGGAGAGGAUUGGGCUGCUUAGAGCCCAUUUCCUGGUUUCUCAUUUAAUUCUUUACCUGCUCUGGGGGCCCAUUUUCCCACAAGUAGUAGGCCAGCCGUUUGCUUGUCAUAUGUUGCAAUUAUGGAAAACUUUGCCCCUACUCAAAAGGAGGUGGUUGACACAGCCCCAUUGGCUGAAGCCCCUCCAGGAGAUGCACGGCCAUGCAGCAGGAGGUUUGUGCCGAUGUUAUGUGAUAGGGAAGCAAACUGAGCAUCCUGGAGGCUUCUCAGCAGCACGGUCAUGUUGAAAGUCAAAGUCCUUGGGAGAGGACUCAGAGCUAUACUGAGCCAAAAUCCUCUGCAUUUGCUGCCACUGUUGUCUCAGUGGGGUGGGUCGAGCUGAUGGCUGUGACUGCUGGCAGAUCUGUAUCCUAAAUAUUUUGCCCCAGGUCACAUGGAAACCCUGAACUGGGAGAAGGCAGCCAGCUGUACCAGCAAGGAGAGAGACGGGCUGACCUCCCUGGCUACCACAGCCAUGUGGGUGGGAAGGAGCUCCGGGCUAGCGAGCAUUAAGGUGUCAGGAGCACGGCUUAUAGCUGCAUCACUGCUCACUGCUUUCAGGAGGGUGUUACUCUGCUAUGAAAUAAAUCCAGUUUUACAGAAAUAGCUCUGUCCUCACCAAACAAGCCUUGCAGGAUAACAUGCUGCUAUUCCCGUACUGAUAAUGCUGUACUGCUAUGGAAAUCGCCUUAACACCGCUGCUGUCUGUUGUCUGUAGAGUGGGAAUUGUGACCCUCCUCUCACCUUAUUCCUUCAUCCAAACAAGUGGGAGUGUCAGAUCCAUGCUGUGGAAUGGCCAGACCCUCCAGAUUUGGCUGCAGCGGAAGGCAGACCAUGACCUCAUGCAGCAGUGAAAUGCCAUGCAAUAUUGUUAGUGCCUUGUUGUUGCUUUAGGAACCGCUCUACAAGAAAAGCGACCUACAUACAUGUGUCUGGAUGGCUCAGUGCUCUGUUCACACCACCUUCACCCGGUCCUGCUCUCUGUAUCCUCUAAGGAGAGGCAUAAGCACAAGCCCUGCUUUCCCAGCCCAGCUGCUUCCACCACACAGAGGUGCAACCGUAGCAGUGACUGAGCAGAGCUGCAAGCAAGAUGUCAUCUGGAGAGGAGCAAGCUGGAAGAGUCAAAGUUGGCCUGCAGGAAGGCUAGAAACCAAACCAGGUGUGAGCUUCCCAAGCCAGGCAGCUUCUUCCUUCCCUUCCCUGUGCCACACUGGCCAUGGGGCACUGACUGACUGCUGCUGGGUGCAGUUGGCAAUGAACACCUUGCAGUGAGUAUGCCUUUCCAAAGCCGCUGCUCCUGGCCUGAGGUUCUGAGUGGCAUGCAAAUGCUCAAGCGUACUUGCUGGCUUGUUUCCCUUGAUGGCAGCACAUAAAUCAUUCAGAACUGAGCCCUCACACCAGCUUGCCAGCGGGGAAGGAUUCGGCCUCUGCUUGCCCAAGUCACUACUCUUCUCACCCAGAGCACCACCAGUGGUUCUCACCUGGGAUGUGAUGCCUGAUGGGAGCGCAGCACAGCUGGAACUGCUUUAAACCUCAUUUUAAUUAACAGUAGCUGUCCCAUGUUCUUUUAAAUAUCCUGAAGGAGGCUCUUCUUUUAAAUAAAAGGUCCACAUUGGGUGAAGCCAGGAGUUUGCUUAGCUCAGCAUGCUCUACCCUACAAAAUGCCCUGCAAUUAACCAGCGCCUGUGUAGUGUAAAUCACAACAUGAUUCUCGGCAUGAGAACAGAGACAAAGUCACCCCUCAGCCAGACAAGGACAGAGAGCUCAGGAGCGCAGAGCCAUGCACCUGUUUAUCCAUGACUUUGGAAGCUUCAAAACUGGCGCCAUAGAAAAUGAGGACAGACAGCACUUCCACCCAAGAGCAGCCAGGAGCCCGGUGGUCAGUGGGCCGCCCUGCAGGGUAGCUAAAAGACAGAAGCCUUCUCUCCAUUAAUUGCACAACAUCUCCAGCUUUGCAAUGUCUUGUUUGAGGGGAAGGCACUGAGAUAUGUGUACAUGUGAGAACUGACUGGCAGGAGACAUGUCUGCUCGCUGCCUCCAAGCAUGGCAAAACCCUUCUCAGCAGCUCCGCGCCAACACAUUUGCAUGGCAUGGACAGGGACCCUGCAGGAGUGGGACCAGCACAGCAGCUCUCUCCCUCCAUCCCCCACCGGAUUUAGCAUCGUGAGCCACUGACGUUUACUGGCCCUGAGUUGAGAGGGUGGUAACAUCCUCAACCCAGCAGAGCUGAACUGAUGAAGGUCAUGAAUCAAAUGUUGGACGUGAGGACUUCGACACAGUCAUCCCCUGUCCCGAGAGCAUCAUCUGGCUUUAGAGUCAGGGCUUGCUGGCUGCUGGCACGCAGAUCUGGACCAUUACAUGGAGCAGGCACAAGCUGUAUGAAAGCAGAAAGGAUCGCACUGUCGACAUCAGCAAUAACUCAUGCUACGCCUGCAGAGACCCCAAAACAGAAGUGCAGCCCACUCCCACCUUUCCUGAUGAAAGCUGCUAUCAGAGCCCAGCCAAAUGCCCAAAGAAGCAGGAGAGCUCAACUGGCCAUGGAAAAAAUCAACUGCAACAGGACUUUGUGCCUAAAUCUAAAGGCAUAAGAUGAUGCUUGGAAAACAAAUUACCUGAGCUUUCAUUGGGUUCUUAAUUCAGCUGGUUGUCCUCUCUGUUUGUCUCCUACUGCCUAAGAAGAGAUCUGUAUGACCGGGGCAUGAGUUCUACUGAACGCUCAUGAGAGACUGGAGAGUUCCUGGGGUCUACUGGGAUAAGAGGGAAGGGCUGGUGGCACCAGGGUGGGCAGCUGGUCUGCAUCUGAAGCCAGCUGUGGCCCUUGCUUUAUUUGCACUGGACAUCUGUUUCAGGUCCCUUCCCUGUUCUCUGGCUUCUCACAGGGCGCUUUAAAAAACCCAUUCCUUGUGCUGUGGACAGGGCUGACAUUGAGGAAAGACACUACUGUGACAGACUGCUUUGAACCAAUGUUUGUGACAAUUACUGUGGCUGCUGCUGGUGUUUCACACGCCCAUCACCACAAUACUCCCAUAGCUCUGAGUGGCCUUUGCAGAGCUCUCUUACUGAUCUACCAGAACUGCAACCUGGGCAGCAAUUAAGGAGAGCUUAUGAAAGGCAUCUGCCCUCUAAUUCAUUGUUUCACUUCUCGGUGUCCUUUUGAGGAAUAAACCUAAAUGUAGGUGCUAAAUAAUGCUCACUAUGAAGGAUUUAUUGCUAUUUUAAUUUUAUAAGUAACUUCCGAAAACUACAGCUCCCAAUAACAUGUGUAUAUUGGUCAGAUAUAUCUAAGAAAUGAAGUUUUAAUAACUCCAUUUUUCUUCCUGAAUUGCAUUUCUACUAGAUUUACAAAAUGUGUUCAUAUUUCACUCUCUCUCCACCAAUAUGGGUUUCUAAUGAUCUGCAUAGAAAUAGUAUCAUUUCUGGCUUAACUGUUAUAUGUAGAAGUUAAAUGUGGAGGGAAG